GACGAACGCUGGCGGCGUGCUUAACACAUGCAAGUCGAGCGGUAAGGCCCUUUCGGGGGUACACGAGCGGCGAACGGGUGAGUAACACGUGGGUGACCUGCCCUCAGCUCUGGGAUAAGCCUGGGAAACCGGGUCUAAUACUGGAUAUGACUCCACGGUGCAUGUCGUGGGGUGGAAAGCCUUGUGCGGCUGAGGAUGGGCCCGCGGCCUAUCAGCUUGUUGGUGGGGGAUGGCCUACCAAGGCGACGACGGGUAGCCGGCCUGAGAGGGCGACCGGCCACACUGGGACUGAGACACGGCCCAGACUCCUACGGGAGGCAGCAGUGGGGAAUCUUGCGCAAUGGGCGAAAGGCUGACGCAGCGACGCCGCGUGUGGGAUGACGGCCUCGG
rnacentral:rRNA from 1 species